UACGGGGGGGGCAAGCGUUGUUCGGAAUUACUGGGCGUAAAGGGCUCGUAGGUGGCCAACUAAGUCAGACGUGAAAUCCCUCGGCUUAACCGGGGAACUGCGUCUGAUACUGGAUGGCUUGAGAUUGGGAGAGGGAUGCGGAAUUCCAGGUGUAGCGGUGAAAUGCGUAGAGAUCCGGAGGAACACCAGAGGCGAAGGCGGCCUACUGGGCUGCACCUGACGCUGAGCCGCGAAAGCCAGGGGAGCGAACGGG
rnacentral:rRNA from 1 species